CAGCCCAGUGAAACCCAAUGAACUGACACUGGCUCCUCCAAGCCACACCCAGCCCCAGGUCCCAGCUAAUGCCAAGCUGUGUACAGCAAGGAUAAAGCAGAAGCACCCGCCCUGGUGGCAUGUCACCCAGCUGGGCAAAGGUCCAUACACACCAAAGAAACAGCAAUGAGCUGCCAGGGGAUGGGAGAAGGCGCUCUGAAGACAGAUGCGGAGGCUGCAGAGCCUGGGGAAAGCAGCCCAGUGGAUCCAGAAGCAGAAGACACGACCCCUUGAAGAUAGGCUCCCAAGGACGGGAAGAGUGAGCUGCCUCUGCAGAGCCUGGGUCCCGAGAGCAGCCACAUUUUGGGGCUCAAACACGUUGUAAAAAUAGGAUUGUUCAUCGCAAAGCAGAAGCGCCGGGCAGUGGCACAGGAUUUAAUGCAGAAUCCCGGCUCCUAAUGUGGCCAGCCUCUUCCACUCCACUCCUGCCCACUUCCUCUGAUGCACCCCACCCCUCCCAGGCUGCCUAGCAGCCUUGGCACCUGCUGCUCCCUCUUCCAGACUGUUCUUCCCCCAGGAGCUGCUGGUGGCUGGCUCCAUCCCACAGUCACUCUUUGCCUCCCCUGACCCCCACACUCCAUGCCCCUCUUGCAGUAUUGUUUCAUAGCACUUGGCCUAAGGCCCUGAAAA